rnacentral:rRNA from 1 species
GAUGAACGCUGGCGGCGUGCUUAACACAUGCAAGUCGAACGGAAAGGCUCCUGCUUUCAGGGGUUCUCGAGUGGCGAACGGGUGAGUAACACGUGGGUGAUCUGCCCUUCACUUCGGGAUAAGCCUGGGAAACUGGGUCUAAUACCGGAUAGGACGAUGGUUUGGAUGCCAUUGUGGAGAGUUUUUCGGUGUUGGAUGGGCUGGAGGCCUAUCAGCUUGUUGGUGGGGUAAUGGCAUACCAAGGCGUCGACGGGUAGCCGGCCUGGGAGGGUGUACGGCCACAUGGGGACUGAGAUACGGAGCAGUAGCCUACGGGAGGCAGCAGUGGGGAAUAUUGCACAAUGGGCGCGAGCGUGAGGCAGCGGUGCUGGGUGGGGGAUGACGGCCUUCGGGUGGUAAACACCUUUCGCUAGGGACGAAGCGCAAGUGACGGUACCUGGAGAAGAAGCACCGGCUAACUACGUG